CAUUAAACCCUAGAGAUUUCCUUAUCUCCUCUUCUUAUAUUAAACCAGCUUCUCCUUCAAAGUAUCUCAUCUCUCUACUUUUUAGUUCUCAGGUGUGUUUUUGGCUUUUCAAUGCUCGCAUCUGCUCCAUUCGGACUCCACAUGUUUUAUACCCAUUUCGUUCUAAACUGCUGGCGGUCUCAUAUUCCAUUGCCUUGGGGAGCUGCGUUGUGGCCAUUACCUCUUGGGACUGGCCAUGAGACAUACAUUUCUUUUGAUCGAAGCUGCUACACUUCCCCCACUCCCUACCCCCACUCCCUUCACCAUUAGGUGGCAUUGAUCUUAGCCCUUGAUCCCUUGGAUUGGGAUUAGCAGGGGGUCCUUUUGUGUGGCUUCAUACCACUAUCUCCAUGACACCUCAUGGUGGAAAUGGUUGGUGGUCAUGGGUGGGGGAAGACUAGCAUUUUCGUCUUUUGAUCUUGUUUCUGCAAACAGUAGCAAAGUAGCAAUUCAGACUAUCAGGUUAGAGGUCUCUUGAGAUUAGUACCAGCGGUGGUGGUUGUUUUCGUGUCUUCUGCUGUGUGUGUGUGUGAUUUGAAAAGGGAACCUGUAGGUAUAUGUUUAUAAUCAAAUAUUGCAAGUUUCUUUUUUUUCUUUUUUUUGGUCAGAGCCACGUUGACGAUAGUCAAAAAGACAAUGACCGUCAAUGCUAUGAUUGGACCUAUACAAAUUUCAUGUUUCACAUCUUGAUAGGAAUCUGUACACUGAUUUGCCAUUCAUUUACAGAGCCGUUUUGUGCGAUUACAUUUUCUUUUGAAGUUCAUAGUUGUGUAGAUUUAUUGACUGCCUGUGAGGAUCAAAACUUAUUUGGAAUUACCGGCUGAUUUCUUUGAUGUUAACCUUUGGCUGAUUUCUUUGAUGUUAACCUUUGGCUGUUUUUCUGAGGCAUUCUAAAUCAAAGUUAAAAGUCUUUUUUAUAUUAGGUCUGUUUGUUCUGUACAUUUUAUUUUUGAUGGGGAUGGUACACGUACGAAAUUAGGUUCUCGUCGGAGUUCCACCGUUGUUUGUACAGUCUCAUAUUCCAUUACUUCUUGGGAUUGACCAUGAGACCGAUUCUAUGCAAGUUAUUUUAUAAUUUAUCAUGUUUUGUUGUUUUUAUAGUUGUCUUUAUGUAUGUAAUGAUGAUAGGUUUGGAAAAUUGCACCAAGUUAGAUGAGAGGAAGGAAAUACCUAGGGAAUAUUAGUUAUGUGAUUCUGUGUUUUGUAUUCACCGGCCAUUUUCGAUUUUCUUCUCAUCUUUUUUGGGUGUGUUUCCUGUUUGUCCGAGUUUUUCUUUUGUAAUAAUAAUAAUAAUAUUUGUGGUAAAUCUUAGACUUAUAUCAAUAUUAGUUUGUCUUUUGACGGGGGAGGUUUUGGCAAAAAUUCUCUCUUUCACUGAUUGGAGCAAACCAGUUAUGUUUGUAAAAUCCUCUGUAAACGUCACACACAAAGCUUGAUAUGUUGACGGUUGAAAAAUCUCCAUUUCGGGCGGUCUCAUAUUCCAUUGCCUUGGGGAGCUGCGUUGUGGCCAUUACCUCUUGGGACUGGCCAUGAGACAUAUAUUUUCUUUUUUUUGUUGAUCUUCGUAACAAAUGGCGAUCUUGAUUUAUGUUUUGCUACUGAGCCUAUGAGGAUAUCUGAUUUAAAGAACACCAUCUUUCGGGACUGAAUGGCUUAAUGCCUUGGUGAUAAAUUCUGCAAUUCUGAGGCUUAUACCUUAAAUUUUGUUGCUGGUUAUUUAUUCCAUGUAGUUGUAGCUUGUUGGUUACUUGCAAGAUGCUCUGCUACUAUACUUGAAGCUUCAUGUGAUAGUCUGGGUUUAAUAGUUUUUAAUCAGUCCUUAACAGUGACCACCGACAUGAAACAUCUGAUAGGAGUUAGAAAUAUGACUUAUAGUCCGCGAUUGGUCUGGAAACUACAAGGAUCUCUGAUUUCUGCUGAGGAUGGAUAUCAAGGGAAGUCAGCUAAACAGGUAAGCCUUGCACAAGGAGAAAAUCACUUUCAUCAGGGGAAAGAAGACCAGCGUUCGCCGGCACUCUGGCAGAGGGGCAAACAAUCUUGGAAGAUCUUUUAAUUUCUGGUCAAAACAAUCUUGGAAGAUCUUUUAGUUUCAAGUUCAGUAACUUUUUAAUCUGAAAAAAAUGUGAGGCAAACCAGGUUGCUGCUGUAUUGGCCUCUCAGCUCAAUGCAACAUCAUCCUGUCAAUUUUCCACUUUUUUGGUUAGGCAGAUCUCUCUUACGAUGGCAGAAACAAUAAUAUAUAUUGGGCUCAGGCCACAUUGUUAUUACA